rnacentral:rRNA from 1 species
UACCCCGCUGUGAAACUAAGCAUAUCAAUAAGCGGAGGAAAAGAAACCAACAGGGAUUGCCCUAGUAACGGCGAGUGAAGCGGCAACAGCUCAAAUUUGAAAUCUGGCUCUUUCAGAGUCCGAGUUGUAAUUUGCAGAGGGCGCUUUGGCUUUGGCAGCGGUCCAAGUUCCUUGGAACAGGACGUCACAGAGGGUGAGAAUCCCGUACGUGGUCGCUAGCUAUUGCCGUGUAAAGCCCCUUCGACGAGUCGAGUUGUUUGGGAAUGCAGCUCUAAAUGGGAGGUAAAUUUCUUCUAAAGCUAAAUAUUGGCCAGAGACCGAUAGCGCACAAGUAGAGUGAUCGAAAGAUGAAAAGCACUUUGGAAAGAGAGUCAAACAGCACGUGAAAUUGUUGAAAGGGAAGCGCUUGCAGCCAGACUUGCUUGCAGUUGCUCAUCCGGGCUUUUGCCCGGUGCACUCUUCUGUAGGCAGGCCAGCAUCAGUUUGGGCGGUGGGAUAAAGGUCUCUGACACGUUCCUUCCUUCGGGUUGGCCAUAUAGGGGAGACGACAUACCACCAGCCUGGACUGAGGUCCGCGCAUCUGCUAGGAUGCUGGCGUAAUGGCUGUAAGCGGCCCGUCUUGAAACACGGACCAAGGAGUCUAACAUCUAUGCGAGUGUUUGGGUGUCAAGCCCGAACGCGUAAUGAAAGUGAACGGAGGUGGGAACCCGCAAGGGCGCACCAUCGACCGAUCCUGAAGUUUACGGAAGGAUUUGAGUAAGAGCAUGGCUGUUGGGACCCGAAAGAUGGUGAACUAUGCUUGAAUAGGGUGAAGCCAGAGGAAACUCUGGUGGAGGCUCGCAGCGGUUCUGACGUGCAAAUCGAUCGUCAAAUUUGGGCAUAGGGGCGAAAGACUAAUCGAACCACCCAAUCGGUUG